AUCUCUCUGGAGAUCCCUGCCUGCCUGAGGCCUUCUAAAGAUUGUGAAAGUUGUCUUAAGGAUAAGGCCAAAGUAGGUAUUGCAGCGUGAACAGCAGAUCUUUUGGGGAAAAAACCUUUGAGAGCCAUGAGAAAGUUGCCCCAAGAUCCUUAAAUGUCUUCCAAAGACAAAACCUAAUUGAGAGCCAACAUCUCAAGGGCUAUUGCCUGCAGUCAGUGGGCCACAUGUCUUUACCACUGUUGGCCAUAAAGCACGGGCCUCUCGCCGGCAUGGAUACGCACUGGAUGUGCAAAUGCUGUGCUGGAUAACCAAGUAUAGACAAAAACAAACUUCAGCAUACACCAGGAUUUCAGCAAUUUACAAAAAUGGCAUUAUCUCUUGCUCAGAGUGGUUGAUACUGCCUCACUGCUGACACUGCUUCAGCUUUUAUAUGCUGCCAGGACCCAGGGUUGGCAGAAGAAGGGACUCCAUCAGUUUUUCUCUGGGCUGGAAAUGUUGAGCUCAUGGUGACCCCUUCCCCUCUGAAGCUGUGAAACAACCCUUGCUCAAACUGUACGUGCAUGGGAUAGAUAACCCAGAGACCAUGUAGAAGACCAAAGGAGAUGGUGCUUGCAGCUACCAGUUUGCUAAGGGAGGAAACCCUGUUCCCAGGUUACCUUUACAGUUAACACAGAGAAACAGAGGAGUUCUGGACAUCAGUCCAGCUAUUCCUGGAGUAAAGGAGAAUAUCUGCUCUGUCCCUCUUAACGUGCUAAAUUUAAUUCUUCAUCGGCAGGAAACAAUCAUUGCAGUAGGCCACCUAUAUAUUUGGAUAUGUAGGAAUAUGUGUAUAGGUUGCUCUGGAAGUAAUGCCUCCUGCUGUUUUUUACCCAUGGAAACUGCAACAGAUACAGACAGUACAAUAACACUAUUAGAGCUAUCAGCUAUCAAAGAAUAUUUUUCAACUGUUACCACCGUUAGCUAUGUAUUUUCAUUGGCAAUGAAUAAGAGCCUGCAUGCCAUGGCACUGUUGAUGAAAUGCACCAUCCAUUGUUUUACUGUGCUGGCAUCCACUGUUUGUUCUCCAUCGGUGUUCAGCAUGCAUCAGUGUCAGCGGGUACAGUUUUUUUCUGCCUGGAUGAAUUCCAUUCCUUACCUUUGCUUCACACUCACUUCCAUGCCAGAUGCCAUUCUGUUGGACUGCCCCUCUGCUGCCACCUGUUGCACAGCAACAAAAUACUAUUGGGAAGGUUCAUCCUCUAUUGCCACACCACCACCACUUACCUCUGUCUUCACUGGCUGACAUAAUAAAAUAGGAGGCAUUAGUUUCAGAGCAGCCCUUAUACUUUGUCUCAUGCAGGGGUGCCAGCAUGUUGGCUGAAGUUCUGGAGUAGCCAGGUGUUCCUGUUAGCUGAAACAAGGUGCAAGCUUGUAUUUUGCCAGUGUACUUGGAGGUCAAACGUUCAUUCUAUUUUAAAAAUGACUCUGCAUAACCCCACUUUUUUGCUUUAUGGAAAAUGAGUCAACAAUCUGAGUGUUAUCCACAAAAAAAAAAGCUCCCUUCACGGGAGUAAAAACUGCUGUCAAUUGUCUCAAGGCUUUACCCAGAUUGAGUUAGCUUCAUGUUACUGAAGCUAGUAACACUGCAGUUGCACAUCUGCUGAGGAUCUUGUCCACAAGCAUUUGCCAUCAGCUGACAGUGAUAUUUAUUUCCUGGAAGAGGAUGUUAUUUUGAAUCUUAUUCAUAUCACAGAAGGUACGGACCUCAACAAAACCUGCUCCUUCUCCUGCGUCUGAUCCUGCUCUUGCUUGAGAGCUGUUAAUGAAUCCUAUCUGUGAAUGUGACCUGGGAGUUGGGCUUCUACACAACGAAGCCAAUAUUUUAGAAAAAGACAUAUCAGACAAUGUAAACCGCCCUCACAAGAAAGGCAUUUUAGGCAUGUAAACUUAAAACUUUUAAAUCUUCUGCUUUUCCAUGUAUUGCCAGCUUUCUGUAAGAGACUCAAGCUUCCUAAGCCAUCCUUUCCGACUAUAAAAUAUGCUUACACAUCUAGCCAAGAGACAGACUGUACAGUUGCUGGCAUGUCUCAAACUGAUGUAUCAGGUAAUUAUUAGUCUCUAUAAACAAUUCCCAAUCAG
ensembl:lncRNA